CCAACGGCCCUCUUUAGGGCCACAAAUUCAUAAGUCCAGAUCUUGU
rfam:Caenorhabditis elegans chromosome IV